AUUGAACGCUGGCGGCAGGCCUAACACAUGCAAGUCGAACGGUAACAGGAAGAAGCUUGCUUCUUUGCUGACGAGUGGCGGACGGGUGAGUAAUGUCUGGGAAACUGCCUGAUGGAGGGGGAUAACUACUGGAAACGGUAGCUAAUACCGCAUAACGUCGCAAGACCAAAGAGGGGGACCUUCGGGCCUCUUGCCAUCGGAUGUGCCCAGAUGGGAUUAGCUUGUUGGUGGGGUAACGGCUCACCAAGGCGACGAUCCCUAGCUGGUCUGAGAGGAUGACCAGCCACACUGGAACUGAGACACGGUCCAGACUCCUACGGGAGGCAGCAGUGGGGAAUAUUGCACAAUGGGCGCAAGCCUGAUGCAGCCAUGCCGCGUGUAUGAAGAAGGCCUUCAGGUUGUAAAGUACUUUCAGCGGGGAGGAAGGGAGUAAAGUUAAUACCUUUGCUCAUUGACGUUACCCGCAGAAGAAGCACCGGCUAACUCCGUG
rnacentral:rRNA from 1 species